rnacentral:rRNA from 1 species
CAGAACGUCGCAAGACAGUUCGGUCCCUAUCCGUCGUGGGCGUAGGAUAUUUGAAGGGGGCUGUUCCUAGUACGAGAGGACCGGAACAGGCGAACCUCUAAUGUACCAGUUGUCUCGCCAGAGGCAUAGCUGGGUAGUUACGUUCGGAAAGGAUAAGCGCUGAAAGCAUCUAAGCGCCAAGCCCUCCCUAAGAUAAGAUAUCCAUUCCACCAUUUGGUGGAAGAAGACACCUUAUAGAUUAUGAGGUUGAUAGGCCAGAUGUGUAAGACCUGUAAGGGUUUUAGCUUACUGGUACUAAUUAGUCGACAGUUUGACCGCU